ACACACCAUUGUUUUCUCUCGGCAAGCGACGACGGACCGCUAGCAUUAUACCGAAAAGAGUAAAUAACAUUUGCCUGUUGUUGGCUGUACAGACCAACAUAAAUCUGUACAUGGACUCCCAGCCUCAGAGGACACAAGAGCAGGUGGAUUGAUCAUUUUUUUAUGGAAAUGUUUCAGCCACAGUCUGUAAAAACCUGCGAGUUUGUGUGAACCACUUUGUCGGACUGUUCUUCAAACCUGGGACAGUACAACACCAGACUGGUAGAAAAACUUUUUGUGCAAGAUGGAGCAAUUCCAACUGUCCGUGGCGAAGCUACAGAGGAGAGAAAUAGCCUGAGAAGUUGGGCAAGUGGACUUCACUGUUUAAGGCCCAUUCAAAACAUCGAGUGCUCCACUUGCUCCCGUAUCACGUGACCCGUGUAUUCGCGUUUUAUCGCAAAUAAUGAAGACCCCCUCUUCCCCAAGACAAAGAAGGGUGAAGCCACCACAAAGCCUUUUGAAGCAGAACCCACAUUCAAUUAUGUGGUUGACUUGAUGAGGAUGGUGUUUGAGGGCCCAGCACCAUUUGUGGAGGAGGUGAAAUAAAUCCACAUCCCCAAGGAUCUGUCAUCCCAAUACGACAGGCUGUCAAAGGAGGAAAUGGUUGAUCGCCACAUGU